AAAUUUCCAAAUCCCGUACCCGUUUAUCGUUCAUCUUUAUCCAUAUUCCAUUCAAAAUUUAAAUGGUUAUCUCCGUCAAACGAUCCGGGCGAAGAUUGGGGAAUUACUCCUCUUAGCCAACCUUAAUCACUUUGACCCCGCAUUUGAACUCCUCACAUCGACUUCUACCUUAUUCCUUGUUAAACGCCGCCACAUCACCACCACACACCGUCACAGCGCCACCGUCUGCCACAACGAACCAGGGUCGCCACCACGGAUCACCACUCGCAUCCCGUUCAAUUCGGUUUGAUUCGAGAUCAGACGUGCGUAAACCAUGAAUAACCAUUGUUAUUCACCUCGAUUCAGUUAUCACCAUUUGGCAACUGAGGUUCGCGUACUCGUUAAAGACAAUUUGUUGUGGCUUUGCUUUGCUAAAUUAAGGUAACAUGGGAUGAUCUGGGAUUUCAGUGAGCGGCGUUAGGAAGUUGCUGGUCAAGAUUCUUUAUUUCAGUAAUGUAAUAAAUGUAAUUAGGAUAUUUUAUUUAAUGUUAUGGAUUGGUUUUUAGUUUUGAUAUCUAUAAGAGUGACACGUCAGCCCUAGCGGGGUUGGGGUGUUAUAAUUUAUCU
rnacentral:lncRNA from 1 species